rnacentral:rRNA from 1 species
UACGAGGGGGGCGAGCGUUGUUCGGAAUUAUUGGGCGUAAAGGGUGCGUAGGCGGUUCCGCAAGUCCUGUGUGAAAUCUUCGGGCUCAACUCGACGUCUGCACGGGAAACUGCGGGGCUUGAGUGUGGGAGAGGUGAGUGGAAUUCCCGGUGUAGCGGUGAAAUGCGUAGAUAUCAGGAGGAACACCGGUGGUGUAGACGGCUUUCUGGACCGUAACUGACGCUGAGACACGAAAGCGUGGGUAGCAAACAGG